CACACACUUUGGAGAUGAGAUGUAACCUCCCUCCACCACCACCGCCGCCGCCGCCGCCGCCCGCCGCGGCAUUUACAGCCACUAAAGGAGGCGUCCAAAGGGAUCGCAUUGAUCCCAACUCUAUUUCUCUAUUCCUUUUCUUCACUACCAUUUUCUUUAUAUAUUUAAUUGGAAUUCAUACAUUUUGGAUCAUGCUAUCUCUUUGGAUUCAUCCUUUGGUAGCUCCUAACGGUCAAGAUCAUGCAUCAUAACGACGUCGCUUGAUUUAUGUAAACAAGCCCACCAAUAUAUGCCAACCUUCCUUGUAGGUCGUGGCUCGAGACAUAAGAGAAAAAAUGACGCGGACCAUUAGGCUUGCUGAAACUGCACUAUCCAAGCAUAAGAUACCCAGCGGACCACUAGAUUCGCACCAUGCGGAAACAGCGGACUGCCCAAAAAGCCACCUCAAUACAUGAAACACCAUGCGGACCGUUGGAUUUGCGUUAUGCGAACCUAGUGGACCGCUGAAAAAGUCGUUGGAGUCCAUAAGAGCCCAACGGACCGUUGGUCGUCUAGCGUAAAUUUUUCGAAAAAGGCAUGAAUCAGUUUAAAGCCUAAACAUCAUCCUCCCAAGUAUAAAUAAAAGCUAAACUCAAAUUUAAAAGAAAGCAUAGGGCUUGAAUGGUACCUAUGGAGUUUGAAGAAAUAUCGAAACUUCCAUCUUCCUAAGAACUUGUCCAUGAUGGUAUUUCUAAUAUUUAUUUCGUCUUUAACCACCAUGAGUGGCUCGUUCUCCAGAUUGCUUCUACUUUGUAAUAUCAUUGUGCUUAUUGAACUUGACUAUCUA